AUACCCUAGUUUCUCUUUAGAUCAUAUAAAUCUUUUGUCUUUUAUUAAAGAUUUCCAUGGAGAGGAACUGUUAUGAGGUUUUUUUUAGAAG